rnacentral:rRNA from 1 species
GACGAACGCUGGCGGCGUGCCUAAUACAUGCAAGUAGAACGCUGAAGGAGGAGCUUGCUCUUCUGGAUGAGUUGCGAACGGGUGAGUAACGCGUAGGUAACCUGCCUGGUAGCGGGGGAUAACUAUUGGAAACGAUAGCUAAUACAGCAUAACAGUAGAUGUUGCAUGACAUUUACUUAAAAGGUGCAAUUGCAUCACUACCAGAUGGACCUGCGUUGUAUUAGCUAGUUGGUGGGGUAACGGCUCACCAAGGCGACGAUACAUAGCCGACCUGAGAGGGUGAUCGGCCACACUGAGACUGAGACACGGCCCAGACUCCUACGGGAGGCAGCAGUAGGGAAUCUUCGGCAAUGGACGGAAGUCUGACCGAGCAACGCCGCGUGAGUGAAGAAGGUUUUCGGAUCGUAAAGCUCUGUUGUAAGAGAAGAACGAGUGUGAGAGUGGAAAGUUCACACUGUGACGGUAUCUUACCAGAAAGAGACGGCUAACUACGUG